CUCUUUCUUUCUGUCUGAAAGUAAAAUAAAUAAAAUCUUCUUAUAAAAAAGAAAGAAAGAAGAUUUUGUUAACCAAGCUUUGAAGGACCGCACACCACUGUAAAAUGUAAGAUGUUUUUAUCCCCCUUCAGAAUCAAUUUUUGCCACCCUUGAGAUUGUAAGUCCUGACCUCUGUAGUCUGACAUUUACCCUCCUGGAAAAAAACAUCAAAAACCACCACUUUACCU